rnacentral:rRNA from 1 species
AUGCUUCAUGCUAGUGCGACUUCCUCAUGUCAUGACUUACCACUUUAUGAUGAUUAUGAUGAUGAGCAUGUUGAAUUGCCUACUUGUGAUGCCAUGUUACAUAGGAUUUCUUGUGACAAUUCUUUAGGUCACAUCAUCUUUGCUAAUCCGCUUGACUUGUCAUAUGCUAGGCAUGAGAUCAACCAUAUGUCUUAUUUGCAAUCUCUUCAUAGUGACUAUGCAUAUGCCAUUAAAAUAAACCCAAUUUGCACUUAUGGCAUAGAUGACAAGCCCAUGGUUAUUGGCAUUUGUUUCUCUUGUGAUGAUAUUGAUAUGCUCCCUUUGCAUCAUUUAUCUCAUAUGCCAUGCCAUGACCACCUAGCUUCGGAUAUGCAUUGUUUUGGAUGUUGUCCAUUUUCUCCAUAUUAUGCUUCCGAUAUUGCUCAUGAGGAGACCCCCAUAGUUUCCUCAUACCCAUUAGGAGAUUUUGAUCCAUCCUAUCAUUUGCAAGAUUUCCAUGAUUGUGUGCACCAUAUGCUCCCCAUGAAUAAACAUGCUUUUGAUGUGCCAGAUACUUGUUUGCUCAAUUUGUGUCCCCAUCAUGUCAUACAUAACAACUAUUCUUUCAUGAUGGAUGACAUGUUCAUAUACCAUGCCUCAAGUUUCUUUGGCAUUGCUUAUCUUGUGCUAACUCACACGUGCACAUACACAUCAUGA